UGCCAGACUCCUACGGGAGGCAGCAGUGGGGAAUAUUGCACAAUGGGGGAAACCCUGAUGCAGCGACGCCGCGUGAGCGAAGAAGUAUUUCGGUAUGUAAAGCUCUAUCAGCAGGGAAGAAAAUGACGGUACCUGACUAAGAAGCCCCGGCUAACUACGUGCCAGCAGCCGCGGUAAUACGUAGGGGGCAAGCGUUAUCCGGAAUCACUGGGUGUAAAGGGAGCGUAGACGGCUGUGCAAGCCUGAAGUGAAAGGCGGGGGCCCAACCCCUGGACUGCUUUGGGAACUGUACGGCUGGAGUGCAGGAGAGGUAAGUGGAAUUCCUAGUGUAGCGGUGAAAUGCGUAGAUAUUAGGAGGAACACCAGUGGCGAAGGCGGCUUACUGGACUGUAACUGACGUUGAGGCUCGAAAGCGUGGGGAGCAAACAGGAUUAGAUACCCCGGUAACU
rnacentral:rRNA from 1 species